CCGCCUUGUGGGUUCUGGGAAUCGACCCCUGGCCCUCUGAAAAUAAGCAUUUUUCUGAAAAUAAGCAUUUUUCUGAAAAUAAGCAUUUUUCUGAAAAUGAGCCUUCUUGACAGCCCGACAUUUCUAAUUUCUUAAUAAUUGUGCCAUCUUUUUUUUUUAAUUAAAAAUACAAAAUGUUCUGCUGGUUAUUUUGUAGAAAAUGAAUACACCCACUGAGAUGUGAAUUCCUUUCAAAUAUACUUUAAACUGUGUCAACCAGUGGGUUCCCGGACUGUGUGGCAAGUUUGUACUUUUUGUGUGUGCAUGUUUGAUUCACUGGGUAGAUCGCCGGCCCAUACAUUUGUUACAAUAAGUGUAAUCAAUUUCUGUAAUUAAAACAAGGUGGGGGGCUAUUGGUGGUGAAGUAUAUACUUAGCACACUGGAGACCAUGGAAUUAAUCAUCACCAAAGAGUGAACAUUGGGAUUUUAUAUUGUUUUUAAACACGAUCUCCUGUUGGCCUUAAAUUCUGGGCUCAAAUGAUCCUUAGUUCGCCAAAUAUCUAUAACUAUAGGCAUGUUGUCACCAAGUCAACUAAGUAGAUUUAUUAUUUUUAGGGGUUUUUGAGUCUGGGUCUCAUGUAGUUGGGGCUCACCUUGGAACUCUCCUGCCCCUACUUCCUGUACUGGAACUACCACACCUAACUAAGGAGUGUUUGCUGGUGAAUCUCUGUUGCUGUUCCUUAAGAUAUGUGACAGAUGGGAGUUUUGAAGCUGUCUAUACAGGCAUGCAAGGACAAGGGCUAAUGACCCACAACCUGUGAGUCAGAUCUGACCUGCCACCUGAUUUUGUCUAACUUGGGACUUUAGUUUGUUUUUUUUUUAAUCUAUUCAAAUGGAUUGGGGUGGGUGACAACUGUUAUUUCAUGAAACCUGUGGAUGACCACAGCCACAGUGCCCUGUGCCUGAGUGGCUGUGGUGUGACAGUAUGGCCUGCAGAGCCUAAAGGAUUAACUGCAAAGCUGCUAAAAAAAAGGUUUACAGCCCCUCACCUAGAUCAAGCCGGAGACACUGGCCUUCUCCCGGCCCCCACCCCACCCCACCCCCGUGUUUAUGAGUCAUCAUUUUAUCCUAUUAAACACCCUCUGUGAAAACUGCACAUUUUCUGGGCAUUGGUUAGCAGGACUUCUUGGCAGUAAUUAUCAACUCAAAUGACAUAAGCCUGAUAGUCAUGUCUCCCAGGUAGUGGGGCUCACUGAAGUACCAGAGUUCGUCUGUUUUUCCAUCUGAGGGACCUUGAAGCAGGGCCUCGUAGCAAGUGAUUCUUCUUUCUCUAUCUUUGUUCUUCAGGACUGGGGGGGAGGGGUGUAGGAGAAUAAAGAUCAGACGCACAAUGUAAGCAAGCCUAUUCUGUGAUGUAACAACCUUCAAAUGGGGUCCCAUGGGUUGUCCUCUCUGAAGGCCAGAUCCCAGUGUUUAUUACCCCUGUGCACCUAUUUUAACACACAACUUUACUUGAAUACUUAAUACUGUGACUGUUCUAUGCCAUACUUUGUGAGACAAAUUUCAUGAGUUGUUGAGAAAUAUAUUUUGCUCUAUCAACAUGUAUUGCUUCGUUUUUCUAGUGUUUGACAUUGUGUGAUCAACAGAGUUGAAUCUCAAUAAAUGUUUAACAGGAUUUCUUAUUCCUGUGUG
rnacentral:lncRNA from 1 species